GAUGAACGCUGGCGGCGUGCCUAAUACAUGCAAGUCGAGCGAACGGACGAGAAGCUUGCUUCUCUGAUGUUAGCGGCGGACGGGUGAGUAACACGUGGAUAACCUACCUAUAAGACUGGGAUAACUUCGGGAAACCGGAGCUAAUACCGGAUAAUAUUUUGAACCGCAUGGUUCAAAAGUGAAAGACGGUCUUGCUGUCACUUAUAGAUGGAUCCGCGCUGCAUUAGCUAGUUGGUAAGGUAACGGCUUACCAAGGCAACGAUGCAUAGCCGACCUGAGAGGGUGAUCGGCCACAUUGGAACUGAGACACGGUCCAGACUCCUACGGGAGGCAGCAGUAGGGAAUCUUCCGCAAUGGGCGAAAGCCUGACGGAGCAACGCCGCGUGAGUGAUGAAGGUCUUCGGAUCGUAAAACUCUGUUAUUAGGGAAGAACAUAUGUGUAAGUAACUGUGCACAUCUUGACGGUACCUAAUCAGAAAGCCACGGCUAACUACGUGCCAGCAGCCGCGGUAAUACGUAGGUGGCAAGCGUUAUCCGGAAUUAUUGGGCGUAAAGCGCGCGUAGGCGGUUUUUUAAGUCUGAUGUGAAAGCCCACGGCUCAACCGUGGAGGGUCAUUGGAAACUGGAAAACUUGAGUGCAGAAGAGGAAAGUGGAAUUCCAUGUGUAGCGGUGAAAUGCGCAGAGAUAUGGAGGAACACCAGUGGCGAAGGCGACUUUCUGGUCUGUAACUGACGCUGAUGUGCGAAAGCGUGGGGAUCAAACAGGAUUAGAUACCCUGGUAGUCCACGCCGUAAACGAUGAGUGCUAAGUGUUAGGGGGUUUCCGCCCCUUAGUGCUGCAGCUAACGCAUUAAGCACUCCGCCUGGGGAGUACGACCGCAAGGUUGAAACUCAAAGGAAUUGACGGGGACCCGCACAAGCGGUGGAGCAUGUGGUUUAAUUCGAAGCAACGCGAAGAACCUUACCAAAUCUUGACAUCCUUUGACAACUCUAGAGAUAGAGCUUUCCCCUUCGGGGGACAAAGUGACAGGUGGUGCAUGGUUGUCGUCAGCUCGUGUCGUGAGAUGUUGGGUUAAGUCCCGCAACGAGCGCAACCCUUAAGCUUAGUUGCCAUCAUUAAGUUGGGCACUCUAAGUUGACUGCCGGUGACAAACCGGAGGAAGGUGGGGAUGACGUCAAAUCAUCAUGCCCCUUAUGAUUUGGGCUACACACGUGCUACAAUGGACAAUACAAAGGGCAGCGAAACCGCGAGGUCAAGCAAAUCCCAUAAAGUUGUUCUCAGUUCGGAUUGUAGUCUGCAACUCGACUACAUGAAGCUGGAAUCGCUAGUAAUCGUAGAUCAGCAUGCUACGGUGAAUACGUUCCCGGGUCU
rnacentral:rRNA from 1 species